rnacentral:rRNA from 1 species
UGGGGAAUUUUGGACAAUGGGCGCAAGCCUGAUCCAGCAAUGCCGCGUGCAGGAUGAAGGCCUUCGGGUUGUAAACUGCUUUUGUACGGAACGAAAAGCCUCUCUCUAAUACAGGGGGUGAUGACGGUACCGUAAGAAUAAGCACCGGCUAACUACGUGCCAGCAGCCGCGGUAAUACGUAGGGUGCAAGCGUUAAUCGGAAUUACUGGGCGUAAAGCGUGCGCAGGCGGUUUUGUAAGACAGUGGUGAAAUCCCCGGGCUCAACCUGGGAACUGCCAUUGUGACUGCAAGGCUGGAGUGCGGCAGAGGGGGAUGGAAUUCCGCGUGUAGCAGUGAAAUGCGUAGAUAUGCGGAGGAACACCGAUGGCGAAGGCAAUCCCCUGGGCCUGCACUGACGCUCAUGCACGAAAGCGUGGGGAGCAAAACAGGAUUAGAUACCCCUGGUAGUCCACGCCCUAAACGAUGUCAACUGGUUGUUGGGGAUUUAUUUCUUCAGUAACGAAGCUAACGCGUGAAGUUGACCGCCUGGGGGAGUACGGCCGCAAGGUUAAAACUUAAAAGGAAUUGACGGGGUC